GCCCUGCUAGAGAAAUGGUUAACUCGUCGGCCUUCUAACACCCAGUGCUAAGAAGCCGAAGAUUCCUGGUUCGAGUCCAGGGUAGGGCG